rnacentral:rRNA from 1 species
CAAGGCGGGCGGCUACACAUGCAAGUCGAGCGGUAGAGAGAAGCUUGCUUCUCUUGAGAGCGGCGGACGGGUGAGUAAUGCCUAGGAAUCUGCCUGGUAGUGGGGGAUAACGUUCGGAAACGGACGCUAAUACCGCAUACGUCCUACGGGAGAAAGCAGGGGACCUUCGGGCCUUGCGCUAUCAGAUGAGCCUAGGUCGGAUUAGCUAGUUGGUGGGGUAAUGGCUCACCAAGGCGACGAUCCGUAACUGGUCUGAGAGGAUGAUCAGUCACACUGGAACUGAGACACGGUCCAGACUCCUACGGGAGGCAGCAGUGGGGAAUAUUGGACAAUGGGCGAAAGCCUGAUCCAGCCAUGCCGCGUGUGUGAAGAAGGUCUUCGGAUUGUAAAGCACUUUAAGUUGGGAGGAAGGGUUGUAGAUUAAUACUCUGCAAUUUUGACGUUACCGACAGAAUAAGCACCGGCUAACUCUGUGCCAGCAGCCGCGGUAAUACAGAGGGUGCAAGCGUUAAUCGGAAUUACUGGGCGUAAAGCGCGCGUAGGUGGUUUGUUAAGUUGGAUGUGAAAUCCCCGGGCUCAACCUGGGAACUGCAUUCAAAACUGACUGACUAGAGUAUGGUAGAGGGUGGUGGAAUUUCCUGUGUAGCGGUGAAAUGCGUAGAUAUAGGAAGGAACACCAGUGGCGAAGGCGACCACCUGGACUAAUACUGACACUGAGGUGCGAAAGCGUGGGGAGCAAACAGGAUUAGAUACCCUGGUAGUCCACGCCGUAAACGAUGUCAACUAGCCGUUGGAAGCCUUGAGCUUUUAGUGGCGCAGCUAACGCAUUAAGUUGACCGCCUGGGGAGUACGGCCGCAAGGUUAAAACUCAAAUGAAUUGACGGGGGGCCCGCCCAAGCGGGGGGAGCAUGUGGUUAAUUUCGAAGCAACGCGAAGAACCUUACCAGGCCUUGACAUCCAAUGAACUUUCUAAAGAAUGAAUUGGUGCCUUCGGGAACAUUGAAAACAGGUGCUGCUUGGCUGUCCUCAACUCCGGUCCGGAAAUGUUGGGUUAAAUCCCGUAACAAGCCCAACCCUUGUU